rnacentral:rRNA from 1 species
UGAAUACGAGAUGCUACGGCGUCGAAGCAGUCUAUGUCAUACUUCCAAGAAAAGCUUGCACUGUCAUAAACAAAUAAUGCCUGUACCAUAACCGACACAGGUGGGUAGGUAGAGUAUACUAAGGGGCGCGAGAUAACUCUCUCUAAGGAACUCGGCAAAAUGACUCCGUAACUUCGGGAGAAGGAGUGCCUUAUUUAUAAGGUUGCAAUAACAAGAUCCAAGCAACUGUUUACCAAAAACACAGGUCUCCGCUAAGUCGUAAGACGAUGUAUGGGGGCUGACGCCUGCCCAGUGCCAGAAGGUUAAAGAAGUUGGUUAGCAUCCGCGAAGCUGAUAACUGAAGCCCUGGUGAACGGCGGCCGUAACGAUAACGGUCCUAAGGUAGCGAAAUUCCUUGUCGGGUAAGUUCCGACCCGCACGAAAGGCGUAAUGAUUUGGAUACUGUCUCGGAGAGGGGCUCGGUGAAAUAGACUUGUCUGUGAAGAUGCGGACUACCUGCACCAGGACAGAAAGACCCUAUGAAGCUUUACUGUAACCUGAAAUUGAAAUUGGACUUUACUUGCGCAGUAUAGGUGGGAGGCGUUGAGAAUAUUCUUGCGGGAUUAUUGGAGCCAUCAGUGAGAUACCACUCUUGUAAUGUUAGAUUUCUAACUUUGUAUCAUUAUCUGGUCAAAGAACAGUUUCAGGCGGGCAGUUUGACUGGGGCGGUCGCCUCCUAAACGGUAACGGAGGCGCACAAAGGUUUCCUCUGAACGGGUAGAAAUCGUAUCUAGAGUGUAAAGGCAUAAGGAAGCUUGACUGUGAGACCUACAAGUCGAGCAGGGACGAAAGUCGGUCUUAGUGAUCUGACGGUGCUGAGUGGAAAGGCCGUCACUCAACGGAUAAAAGUUACUCUAAGGAUAACAGGCUGAUCUCCCCCAAGAGUUCACAUCGACGGGGAGGUUUGGCACCUCGAUGUCGGCUCAUCGCAUCCUGGGGCGGUAGUACGUCCCAAGGGUUGGGCUGUUCGCCCAUGAAAGCGGUACGCGAGCUGGUUUCAGAACGUCGUGAGACAGUUCGGUCCAUAUCCGGUGUAGGCGUUAGAAUAUUGAGAGGAGCCUUCUUUAGUACGAGAGGACCGAGAAGGACAUACCUCUGGUGUACCAGUUAUCGUGCCAACGGUAAACGCUGGGUAGCUAUGUGUGGAGUGGAUAACCGCUGAAAGCAUCUAAGUGGGAAGCCCACCUCAAGAUAAGUAUUCUC